rnacentral:sRNA from 1 species
GUGUACGAAUGGUACAUGCCGAUUCCGAGCACCGGCCGCGCCCGCCUGACGGCGGCGCAGUAGUUUUGUUGGCC